UGCCGGAUCGUCUAAUGGUAGGACAGCGGCCUUUGGAGCCGUACGUUGAGGUUCGAGUCCUCAUCCGGCAG
rnacentral:tRNA from 1 species